GAUUGCACCGGUGGCCUACUGGUUAGAGCGUUCGCCUAGUAUGCGGAAGGUUGUGGGUUUCAUUCCCCGCCGAGUCA